CCUACGGGGGGCUGCAGUAACGAAUAUUCCGCAAUGCGCGAAAGCGUGACGGAGCAAUGCCGCGUGGAGGAUGAAGCCCUUCGGGGUGUAAACUCCUGUCAGGAUUAAAAGCACGUCCAAAGGAAGAGGCGGCUAACUCUGUGCCAGCAGCCGCGGUAAUACAGAGGCCUCGAGCGUUAAUCGGAGUCACUGGGCUUAAAGGGUGCGUAGGCGGUUCUUCAAGUGUCUUGUGAAAUCCCACAGCUCAACUGUGGAAUUGCUCGAUAGACUGGAGAACUUGAGGUUGGUAGAGGUUACUGGAACUCUAGGUGGAGCGGUGAAAUGCCUAGAUAUCUAGAGGAACACCGAACGUGAAGACAGGUAACUGGGCAAUCUGACGCUGAGGCACGAAAGCGUGGGGAGCAAACGGGAUUAGAUACCCCAGUAGUC
rnacentral:rRNA from 1 species